rnacentral:rRNA from 1 species
AUGGUGUUCUUCGACGUGACCAUCGGCGGCGCCCCCGCAGGCCGCAUCGUGAUGGAGCUCUUCGCCAAGGACGUGCCCAAGACGGCGGAGAACUUCCGCGCUCUCUGCACCGGCGAGAAGGGCAUCGGCAAGAGCGGCGAGCCGCUGCACUACAAGGGCAGCGCGUUCCACCGCGUCAUCCCCGACUUCGUGAUCCAGGGCGGGGACUUCACCAGGGGCAACGGCACCGGCGGCGAGUCCAUCUACGGCGGCAAGUUCUCCGACGAGAAUUUCAUCCGCAAGCACAUCAAGCCCGGGAUGGUCUCCAUGGCCAACGCGGGCCCCGACACCAACGGCUCUAAUUUCUUCAUCUGCACCGUCCCCUGCGCGUUGCUCGACGGCAAGCACGUAGUCUUCGGCGAGGUCGUCGAGGGCAUGGACGUCCUCAAGAACAUCGAGAAGGUGGGCUCCCGCAGUGGCAUGUGCGCCAAGUCCGUCAUCAUCGCCGACAUCGGCCAGCUCUGA